rnacentral:rRNA from 1 species
GAUGAAUGCUGGCGGCGUGCCUAAUACAUGCAAGUCGAGCGGUAAGGCCCUUCGGGUACACGAGCGGCGGACGGCUGAGUAACGCGUGGGAACAUGCCCCAAAGUGAGGGAUAACGCACCGAAAGGUGUGCUAAUACCGCAUAUGGUCUUCGGAUUAAAGGAUUUAUCCGCUUUGGGAGUGGCCCGCGUACGAUUAGAUUGUUGGUGAGGUAACGGCUCACCAAGUCGACGAUCGUUAACUGGUCUGAGAGGAUGAUCAGUCAGACUGGAACUGAGACACGGUCCAGACUCCUACGGGAGGCAGCAGUAAGGAAUCUUCCACAAUGGGCGAAAGCCUGAUGGAGCAACGCCGCGUGCAGGAUGAAGGCCCUCGGGUCGUAAACUGCUUUAUGAGUGAAGAAUAUGACGGUAACUCAUGAAUAAGCACCGGCUAACUACGUGCAGCAGCCGCGGUAAU